ACUGAGGAAGAAUAUAAGUUAGCCUCGUAGUGACCAUGUGGAAGUCCUGACCUCGCUUGCAGACUUGACCUCUGGAUGUGACAAGGUGAGGUUCUGUGUUCACUGAUACAUCCCCUUCCUUCACCGGGCUCAUGAAAAGAAAUGCUGAAUCAGCAAAUAGAGUGAACGAACAAUCAAGAUGAGAUGGCUGCUGUUGAUGUGAUUCUCUAGGUUACUACCUUUCUUCCUGCUGCAAAUGCUGCAUGACACUAAGCUUACAGGAUCUAGAAGCAGACUACAAAAAAAGAAGAAAUUCACUCUGAAGACUGAAGAAACACUAGGCUGAUCUUAAGUUUCCGAAAUACACUCUGUAACACUACACUGAUUCUUUGAAUCUCUUGCAAAAAGAAUCAAACCAGGACAAAGUUCAACAGAUAACUGGUCAAAUGCUUAGGAAUGUCUAUGUCCACCAAGAAUAUGGAACCAUUAAUGCCAUGCUUCAGCUGUAAAAUGAAGAACUCUGCUAAC
rnacentral:lncRNA from 1 species